AAUCUUUUGCCAUCUAUUUACCGUAGUGAGAUUUACAAAACAACUUAUAGAAAUAAUAACAUAACUCAAAUAAUGAUUUCAUAUGCAAUCGAUUUGAAUAACAAUUCUAUCCUUUAUCAACCUAUUAGUAUCCAUGGGGGUUUAUAAGGAUGUUCCUACAACACGUGAACCAUUUCCUUUAACAUUUCAAAUUAACGGGUCGUCUCCAUACCCAGUCCGAUAUGAGCCCCAAACCACUAAACCUCAAUGCUCCGUCCAGUGUGAGGGUGAAAUGGGUCGUCCCCAUACCCUAUCUGGUAUGAGUGUCAAAUUACCAAACUUCGAUACCCCAUCCGGUAUGAAGCAACGUUCACGGUAGGAUUUUCUAUGCGCCCAGUUCGUCUACCAUCUCUCAGGAUAUCCAGUAAGGCUGUCGCUUCAUCCAUUCACUUAAUCACACAAUUUUCCGUUUUUCUUUAAUCUCU
rnacentral:lncRNA from 1 species